GACGAACGCUGGCGGCGUGCUUAACACAUGCAAGUCGAACGGAAAGGCCCUGCUUUUGUGGGGUGCUCGAGUGGCGAACGGGUGAGUAACACGUGAGUAACCUGCCCUGGACUUUGGGAUAACUUGAGGAAACUGGGGCUAAUACCGGCUAGGUGCUCCUGCUGCAUGGUGGGGGUUGGAAAGUUUCGGCGGUUGGGGAUGGACUCGGGGCUUAUCAGCUUGUUGGUGGGGGAGUGGCCUACCAAGGCUUUGACUGGUAGCCGGCCUGAGAGGGUGGCCGGCCACAUUGGGACUGAGAGACGGCCCAGACUCCUACGGGAGGCAACAGUGGGGAAUAUUGCACAAUGGUCGGAAGCCUGAUGCAGCAACGCCGCGUGCGGGAUGACGGCCUUCGGGUUGUAAACCGCUUUCGCCUGUGACGAAGCGUGAGUGACGGUAAUGGGUAAAGAAGCACCGGCUAACUACGUG
rnacentral:rRNA from 1 species